GAUAUAUAUACAGCCAAGAGAGCGAGACGAGUUAGCCCCGAAACUCAAAGGAAUUGACGGAAACUCAAAGGAAUUGACGGAAACUCAAAGGAAUUGACGGAAACUCAAAGGAAUUGACGGAAACUCAAAGGAAUUGGCGGAAACUCUAAGGAGUUGGCGGGCGUUAAUCGGAAUUACUGGGCGUAAAGGGUGCGCAGGCGGUUUAUCAAGUCUGACGUGAAAGCCCCGGGCUUAACCUGGGAACGGCGUUGGAAACUGAUGGACUUGAGUGCGGCAGAGGGGGGUAGAAUUCCACGUGUAGCAGUGAAAUGCGUAGAGAUGUGGAGGAAUACCGAUGGCGAAGGCAGCCCCCUGGGUUGACACUGACGCUCAUGCACGAAAGCGUGGGUAGCAAACAGGAUUAGAUACCCUGGUAGUCCACGCCCUAAACGAUGUCAACUAGUUGUUGGGGAGGGAGACCUCCUUGGUAACGCAGCUAACGCGUGAAGUUGACCGCCUGGGGAGUACGGUCGCAAGAUUAAAACUCA
rnacentral:rRNA from 1 species